AGAAUUGACUGUCUCGAUUUAUUUAUUAUAAUUUAAAUUUUAAGUUAAAAUGCUUAAAUGUUUUUAAAGGACGAGAAGACCCUAUAGAUCUUUAUUAAUUGAUUUAUUUAUUUAUUUAGGUUUUUAUUUAUUAAUAUUUUUAUUAGUUUUGUUGGGGUGACAUGGGGAUAUAGUUAACUCUUUAUUAUUUUUUACAUUGAUUUUUGUAUAGUUUGACCUUUUAUUAUUGUUAUAAGAUAUAGAUACCUUAGGGAUAACAGCGUAAUUCUUUUUGAGAGUUCAUAUUGACAAGGGAGAUUGCGACCUCGAUGUUGGAUUAAGAUAAAUAUUAGGUGUAGGUGCUUAAUUAUUAGGUCUGUUCGACCUUUAAAUUCUUACAUGAUCUGAGUUCAAACCGGAGAA
rnacentral:rRNA from 1 species